CCCUGCCAUUUGUACACACCGCCCGUCGCACCUACCGAUUGAAUGAUUCGGUGAAACUUUCGGACCGACGCCAAGUGGCCCUCGGGCUCCUUGAUGUUGGGAAGUUAUUUAAACCUCAUCAUUUAGAGGAAGGU
rnacentral:rRNA from 1 species